GUCUAGCUCAGUUGGUAGAACGCAAGGCUCUUAACCUUAAGGUUGUGGGUUCGAGCCCCAUCGUGGACG
rnacentral:tRNA from 1 species